UGGGGAAUAUUGGACAAUGGGCGAAAGCCUGAUCCAGCCAUGCCGCGUGUGUGAAGAAGGUCUUCGGAUUGUAAAGCACUUUAAGUUGGGAGGAAGGGCAGUAAGCGAAUACCUUGCUGUUUUGACGUUACCGACAGAAUAAGCACCGGCUAACUCUGUGCCAGCAGCCGCGGUAAUACAGAGGGUGCAAGCGUUAAUCGGAAUUACUGGGCGUAAAGCGCGCGUAGGUGGUUCGUUAAGUUGAAUGUGAAAGCCCCGGGCUCAACCUGGGAACUGCAUCCAAAACUGGCGAGCUAGAGUAGGGCAGAGGGUGGUGGAAUUUCCUGUGUAGCGGUGAAAUGCGUAGGUAUAUGAAAGAACACCAGUGGCGAAGGCGACCACCUGGGCUCAUACUGACACUGAGGUGCGAAAGCGUGGGGAGCAAACAGG
rnacentral:rRNA from 1 species